AUGAAUUAAAUUGUAAUUUGACCACCACUCUCUCCAAAUUUAACAGUUAUAUAUAUUUUCAAAGUGCGAUCUCUCUAAAUCUGGUUAAAAAGCUAGUCUUUCCUCAACCUUACAAACUUACAGAAUUUUUUUAGCUUUUAGGCAGGAAAAUAGAAUUUCUUGUAAUAUCUAAAUCCAGCAGAAACAUUAAAAUGCAGUUAUCUCAAAUCUGGUUUAAAUUCUGCAAUUCCCUUAAAUGGCAUAAAUGCAUGGGCAACAUAUACAUAUACACACACAUAACUUUGUUCCAGGCUAUUCAGAACAAAGUGUGUUGCUUACCCAAAAACAUAAAGCAAGCCAUG
rnacentral:misc_RNA from 1 species